rfam:Schistosoma mattheei strain Denwood, Zambia genome assembly, scaffold: SMTD_scaffold0001628
AGCCUUGUGAAUCCGUGCCGAGACUUCGUGAGACACCAGAUCAUUAGGACUGAUGAGACUCUCAAGAUAAGUAAAGCA